rnacentral:lncRNA from 1 species
AGGAUCUCAAGCAAGCAAUUUACAUAUAUUCUUUGUGGCUGUUUGCACUGAGUUUUCUGUCUUAGAAAUUCACAGGGCAAGGAAAUUGACGCGCGGAUUCUCGACUCUGGGAGGGGAAGGAGAGGAUGGGGGUCCAGGCACCCCCACCCCAUCCUCCGACUUUGGAUCCUCCAGGAUCAGAGCACGGACAACCUUCCCACCUGGGGAACCGCUCCGGGAGCCCCAGGGCCAGCCGCCUCACCCCCGACUCCGCGGUUCCCCGCCUCCUCCGGCCGGGCGGAGGGCGUCCUCCCGACUCCUGGAGACGGUUUUCCGAAACCGCGCCGGGAGCUCCCCGGGCCCAGCUCGGGGGACCCUCGCCGGCCUCGCCACCGCCGCCCGACGGGCGCAGACACCGCGCUCCCAGGCCCCGGGGCCUCCUCCCCUCCUCGCGGGGAUCCCCUUGCGCCCACACCCCUGGGGCCCCGCGGGACACUCCGCCCAGGAGGCCGGGCUUCGGCCGUCCGCCCCGCCCCACGCCGGGAGAGCCCCGGGCCCGACCCCUCCCCGGACGCCGGCCGGGAGCAGGGCUCGGCGGCGAGGGUGACUGGGCGGCGGCGCGGGGCCGGGCCCUGGGCAGGGAGGCUCGGCGGCCGCCUCCUCUCUCCGCCCCCGCCCCCCCGUCCCCUCCCAGCCUGCUAGCCCCGCGGCGGCCGAGGUCGGCGCUCUCGCCUCGCCGCCGCCGCCUCCCGCGCCCGGGACCCUCUCCCUCCCGCCCGCGCCCCCUCCUCCCGCCUCCUCCCUCCGCCCUCCUCCUCCUCCUUCUUCCCCGCGCGCCCGGCGGGGCCGGAGAGACCGAGAGGUGGCUGCGGGGAGGCGUAACGGGGAGCCGCGGCUCGGAGCCGAGGACGCCGAGCCGGGACCGGGGAACCUGGGAAGCACACUUGAGUCACAGCUGGCCUGUGGUUUUUACAUCUCAUCAGGGACCACUCUCUUCACAGCCUUAUCUUCGCUCCUCCCCAUACAGGUGGCAGUUUUCUGAAGUUGCUCAUUGAGACUUCUCAGCAUUCCUACAGAUAUAAUAGGUGAGGCUGCGGCCGCGGAGCUGCGACAUGGCAGCAUGACAGCCCCGGGGCGCGCUGCCCGACGACGCCGGGACGAGGGAGCCCCCGCCUGAGCCGCCUUCCCGCGCCUUCCCCACUGCCGCGGCGCGGCUCGCUGCGCUUGCUCACCCCUUGGACUCCCGACUCCCUCCGCCUUGAGCAUCAAUAUGUGUCAUGUCAUUGUCACCUGUCGCUCGAUGCUCUGGACCCUCCUGAGUAUUGUGGUGGCGUUCGCCGAGCUCAUUGCCUUCAUGAGCGCAGACUGGCUGAUCGGGAAAGCCAAGCCCCGCGGCAGCGCCGAGCCGGGCGAACAGGGCGCGGGCACCCCGGAGCCCUACCACCCCACGCUGGGCAUCUACGCCCGCUGCAUUCGGAACCCCGGCGUGCAGCACCUCCCGCGCGAGACACUGUGCGGGCCCUACGCUGAGAGCUUCGGCGAGAUCGCCAGCGGCUUCUGGCAGGCCACCGCUAUUUUCUUAGCCGUGGGCAUCUUCAUUCUGUGCACUGUGGCCCUGGUGUCUGUCUUCACCAUGUGUGUGCAGAGCAUCAUGAAGAAAAGCAUCUUCAACGUGUGUGGGCUGCUGCAAGGAAUCGCAGGCCUCUUCCUCAUCCUGGGCUUGAUACUCUACCCCGCUGGCUGGGGCUGUCAGAAGGCCAUAGGCUACUGCGGACACUACGCGUCGGCCUACAAACCUGGAGACUGCUCGCUGGGCUGGGCCUUCUACACCGCCAUCGGGGGCACGGUGCUCACCUUCAUCUGCGCUGUCUUCUCCGCCCAAGCGGAGAUCGCCACCUCCAGUGACAAAGUACAGGAAGAAAUCGAAGAGGGGAAAAACCUCAUCUGCCUCCUUUAGUUUGGAAGAGACAUCAAUGCCGUUUUCUUGCUCACCGUAACCUUGUGAAACACUUCACUUCUGGUUCCGUCAUUUGGGUCAAGUGAAGAACUAGCCUUUACCUACCGAAGCCACAUUCCACAGCCUCCCAGGACCGACGGCAGGCUGCGUCCAGCCACGCCGAGCACUGCACGUGAGGGCCACAGUGCAAAUCGUAAGAGAUGGAACGAGAAAACCGCACACAAGCCCUGACGUGGAGUUUCGUUCCGUCGGACCCCAUCUCCCCCCAAGGCUCAAUGAAGGAUGAUGAUCUGACAUGAAAGCAACAGGUUCUCUGGUAACAGAAGGGACCACAGGCCGGAUCUGCGGGCGGUUUUAGACGUGUGUUCCUGCACAGGCUGUGUGCCGCGGGCAUCUCUGCCUCUGGGGCGGGGGCUUUGUUUCCUCUCGUUCUUUCACACUGUCUCCUCUGGGGUCCACAGUGAAGACCGUACAUUUACCGGGGACAUGCCGUGCGCCACAGGGCACACACCAAGACACUGCCUCUUGCUUGGCUGACCUGAGCAGUCAGCAGGGACAGUGUGGAAUUCUACUGUGGGACUUACUCUAGGCUGAACUCCAGAGUCAGGUGGGUCCACUGAACUCUGAGUGUCUAGAAAUUUGAGGAGAGAAAGGAUGAGGACCUGUCCCACCAUGAGAAUAAAAGCACAGACAGACUCCUAUUAGUAGAGACAGAGUCACUCCACUUCCCAGGCGUAGCACCAGUACUGGCCCAGUCUCCUCUGCCACCAGAAAUCCCGUGUUUUCCCCGAGGGCUAGGACUGCGCUUUGACUGCCGGGGGAAACCUCAGUGUUUCCUCCUUCCAGGGACCCAGGUCUCCAGGCUGCUGUGGCUCACUCAGAGAGCAUGCCCGAAUCCCAGCCCUUGCGGGGAGACCUUUCCCCGCUGUGCGGUAACUAAGCAGCACUCAGCCGUGUUCCCGCCCUCGGCAGCAGCAGAUGACAAGGAGCUGGUCACAGGAGUUAUGUUUCUGUAGUUACUGGCGUUGGUCCUGGAUGCAGACUCAGAUAUCAUUAAAUUGCUCUAACCGGUGAGUUUACAGCAAAGGCUUCAUUCUCAGGAAAGCAUAGAGUAGAAGGUUCAUGCAAAAAUGAGUGCUCAACCAAGCUCCUAGCACCUGCCUACAACUGUUUACAGAAAGAAUGAAACACCACUAUUAAAAAGGAUCCAGGGGCUUUUAAUCUAGUUUCUAUAAGUCACCAAUAUAACUGAUUCAGGAAAAUGGUAUUAGCCAUCACUUCAACCUUACCCUGGAAUGAUCAAAGGGACCAAAGGGAACCUAGCCUGGUAUCACCCUGAACUUCAGAAUUGCGGGAUGCUACAGAGACGCUUCCUUACAACUUAAGCAAAUGGGAUGGAUCCACCAAAUUUCUGGAAGGAUUAAAAGUAUGGGUCUUUUUAGGCUUAUGAAUCUGCUUACUUGAGGGCUUGCUUUGUUUUGAAAAUUUAACAAAUAACUAAUGAACCUUGUUUGGGCGAGGUAUUGUGUGCUAAGCGCCACCAGGCACAGAAGAACCCUGAUUCAGAUCUUACAACCCUGCCCUGAGUAAAAUCAUCUUAAAGCUGUGUGAGUCUGAAAACCACGCCUUGCUGCAGAACGAGUAAUUGCUUUAUAUUAAUACAUAGAUGGGAUGGAGAACUGAAGUUUUAUUCCCGUCUGGCCAUCGGCCUGGACCAGAAACCAUUUUAUCUCACAGAUUAUGACCUAAAGGGCAGGAGAGGUAGGGGUGGGGAAACCAGCCUUUAAUGAGUUCACCAUUCUUAGACCAAAACUGAGAAUAAGCAAAGUGUACCUCUGUGACUCUUUUGAAAAACAAAGGGGUAAAUAUGUGUGCUCACGGCAGCCUGCCUUCCGGACUCGGCAAACAAGACCUGUGUCUGACAUCACACAGAAGGAGGUGAUGGCGGCCACCGAACAGGGCUCCUGUCCCUGCUGGAUAGGGACGCACAAAGUCCUGAUGCCAUCAUACUUAUCCCUUUUUAACACUAGGAAAUUAAUUUAAAAAAAAAAAAAAAAGGCAAUUCCAAAAAUAAAGUUCCCUCCACCAGGCAAAUAAUCUUGAUUAAAAAUAAUACACAUUUUUUUUUCACAAGAUUCACUUUUCCUUCUAUACAACUUAGAGAAUCUAUGUUAUAAUGCUGAUUGCACACUCUCACUCUCCUCCCAGAGAAAAGUCAUAAGCCUAGAGGAUCCUCUGAGCAGGUCCAUCAUCUUUACUGAUUGCUUUUCCACUACGGUGGGGUGGAGGUAUAUCCCUAGAUCACUCUAAUAACAAGUCAUAAGUGAAAAUGUGCCCUCUCUUGGCCAGAAGAAAGUCAGUUGACAGUGUUUACUUCAUUGGUCUGAAUGUCACAGAAGACCAAAAAAAGCACAUGCACACAUACACAAAACCCCAAACCACUAAAAACUACUUAAAACACUGAUGUGUCAGGCAGAGCACAGAUGAAAUCUCUCUAGUAGAGAAAGAGUAAAGGUAAAGGUGGGCCUUUUGAACCUGCAAGUCCCUUUAGCCAGGCUUCAGUUGGGAUAAACGGAAUAUCAAAGUCUUGCUAGCCUAGAUGAAAACUGCAUGGCUGUUUAAAAACCACUGAAUGGGAGGAAUGUGUUAGAAACAGAUUGAAAACAAUUAGACAAUCAUUGACCUACAUCUAUUUUUCUAAUAAAUUUCUAUCAAUCACAUAAUUGCCUCAGUCUAAAAAUCUAAUAUACCUGGACCAUCACUGCUACCAGAAAAAGUCUUAUUUAUUUUUCGCCUGCAUUUGUGCUUCAAGUUUUGUGAUGGGGCUGGGCUUCUCAACGAACUCCAAGAAGGCAGAAGUGUUUGCUUUGGAUUCUGUGGAUUCUUUAAACCUGUGUGCUAAUUCAACAAUCUUCAUGAACUGUGUAAGGGUUUUUGUAUACUUAUCAAACAUCUGUGGUGUAAUGAUCUUUGUGAAACAUGUAUUCUGUAAAGUGCCAUAGUCCUUUUUUUUAAUGUGUGUAGCAUAUUUAAAAUAUAUAUUAUAUAUUAUACAUACACGAGUCUGUGUGAGAGAUGUGCAAUAACAAAGGUGUAUGUAUGUUCUGUUUUUUUGGGAACUGGACAGGAGUCAGAACAGAGACUGUUUCUGUUUUGGCAAAGGAGAGUUAAAACAUUUUGCCUUCAUGGCCUAGUCAUUAACCCAGAACAAUUCUAAUGCUACACAGACCUAUGUGAAGAAAAGACUGGUAUGAAAUCACCUUUCCCUGGGUCUGAAUUAAUCACUAGACGUAUGUGAAAGGUUAGGCUGGCCGGCCGGGCCCAGGUGAUGCCAGGCUUUCGUGUGAAAUGUGAAGCUGCCGUGUUGCCUUUUCUGUUAGCGUGAUAACUAGUCGUUGGUACAUAAUCACUAAGGAGCUAUUUCUUAACCUGCUUGGAUAGACCACGUUAAUGCUAGACCACUAUUUAAGGGCUAAUCUCACACCUUCUUAGCCAUAAGGGUCUGCUUAGACCAGACCUCUCUGUGCAAUAACAUAUGGCCCCUGGAAAUCCCAGGCCUGCAUUUGUACCGGGGCAGCACAAGAAGGGCACGACUGGGGUUUCUUCUGAGACUGUGGUGAAGCGCCUUCCAAGGCUGGGGGUCAUGCGGUGCUCUGGAGGAACUUGGCACCACUUGAUAUUAUUCAGCAGCCACUUGAGCCAAAUAUAAAACUGUGUUACCGCUGACGGACUCAAUCAGAGCCUUCGAAUUUCUGGUCAUCCUAUUGUAAACUAAUACAUUAUUUGUCUAGCAUUGAUUAGGUUCCUGUGCAUAUGUAUUUUCACCACAUGCUCCCCACCCUCCCCAGAUAUGAAUUAAACCAGAUUUUGCAAACUU